rnacentral:tRNA from 2 species
CGGGCUGUGGCGCAGCUUGGUUAGCGCGCUGCGUUCGGGACGCAGAGGUCCCCGGUUCAAAUCCGGGCAGCCCGACCA